rnacentral:rRNA from 1 species
GACGUAGGAGGCGAGCGUUAUCCGGAUUUAUUGGGCGUAAAGGGCAAGUAGGCGGUUGUCAAAGUUGGGCGUGACAACUCCCGGCUCAACUGGGAGGGUGCGUUCAAAACUAGGCAACUAGAGGGCAGGAGAGGGAAGUGGAAUUCCCAGUGUAGCGGUGGAAUGCUCAGAUAUUGGGAAGAACACCAGUGGCGAAGGCGGCUUCCUGGCCUGCACCUGACGCUGAGAGGCGAAAGCUAGGGUAGCAAACGGGCUUAGAUACC